rnacentral:rRNA from 1 species
UACGAAGGGUGCAAGCGUUACUCGGAAUUACUGGGCGUAAAGCGUGCGUAGGUGGUUUGUUAAGUCUGUUGUGAAAGCCCCGGGCUCAACCUGGGAAUGGCAAUGGAUACUGGCGGGCUAGAGUGCGGUAGAGGGUAGUGGAAUUCCCGGUGUAGCGGUGAAAUGCGUAGAGAUCGGGAGGAACAACAGUGGCGAAGGCGGCUACCUGGACCAGCACUGACACUGAGGCACGAAAGCGUGGGGAGCAAACAGG